UAACAAGGUUUCCGUAGGUGAACCUGCGGAAGGAUCAUUAUCGAUUCAACGAAGUGCCCGUGAGUUGUGCUGGCCUCUCGGGGCAUGUGCACGCUUCAUGGGUCUUCACACAUCCACACCUGUGAACCAAUUGUAGGUCUUUCGGGACCUAUGUCUUCUCAUAACACACUGUAUGUCUAGAAUGUCAUUAUGAUUAUCGUCUGCUUCCUUUGUGGAGUUGGGCUGAUAAGAUAAACAAUAUACAACUUUCAGCAACGGAUCUCUUGGCUCUCGCAUCGAUGAAGAACGCAGCGAAUUGCGAUAUGUAAUGUGAAUUGCAGAUUUUCAGUGAAUCAUCGAAUCUUUGAACGCACCUUGCGCUCCUUGGUAUUCCGAGGAGCAUGCCUGUUUGAGUGUCAUUAAAUUCUCAACCCCAUCGAUUUGUUUCGAUUGUGGGAUUGGAUUGUGGGGGUUUGCUGGUGGACCUUUGUCUGUCGGCUCCUCUGAAAUGUAUUAGCAAAGGUUGAUGUGCGAACCAGUGUCUCGGUGUGAUAAUGAUCAUCGUGCCUGACGUGCAGUGUCCUGUGCUUACAGUCGUCGUAAGACAAUGUUUUGAACCUUUGACCUCAAAUCAGGUAGAU
rnacentral:rRNA from 1 species